rnacentral:RNase_P_RNA from 2 species
CAAGCAAGCUGGGUAAUUGCCCUGCACUUUUAAUAAAGGUCCAGGGAGGAAAGUCCGAACUCCAUCGUUCACUAAAAAGUGAAGGUAAAAAAGUAGCGGCUAACCGCCGUCCAUCGUAAGAUGCGAGGUGCGAACAGAGACGCCUGAAACCGAAAGGAAUCGGGUAUCCUUAAUGGAUAAUUCUUAAUGGCAACAUUAAGACUGAAACGGCCAAAUCCUUACUGGGAGCAAGAUCAAACCUAUGAGGCGACAAGCUUGAUCUCAUAGAGAAAAGUAGAUCGCCAGAGCCCUUGAGCAAUCAAAGGCCAAGACAGAUAAUUAUCGCCCCGCAAUUGCGGGGUACAGAAUUCGGCUUAUAGGCUUGCUUGGAUA